AGAGAGAGACAUGCGCGCAUAUCAAUAAGCGGAGGAAAAGAAACUAACAAGGAUUCCCCUAGUAACGGCGAGUGAAGCGGGAAGAGCUCAAAUUUGAAAUCUUAAAGGGUUUCCCUUUACGAAUUGUAGUUUAAAGAAGUGUUUUCUGUUGAGGUUUUGGUAAAAGUUCUUUGGAAUAGGACAUCAUAGAGGGUGAGAAUCCCGUAUUUGACCUUUACUUUCAACUUUGUGAUACACUUUCAAAGAGUCGGAUUGUUUGGGAAUGCAGUCCAAAAUGGGUGGUAAAUUUCAUCUAAAGCUAAAUAUUGGCGAGAGACCGAUAGCGAACAAGUACCGUGAGGGAAAGAUGAAAAGAACUUUGAAAAGAGAGUUAAACAGUACGUGAAAUUGUCAAAAGGGAAGCGUUUGACACCAGUGUUGUUUUUCUGAAAAUCAAUUAAAGAACUGUUUAUGCUAAGGUUGUUUAGACUUUAUCAGCUAACUGUUUAGUUUUGAGCUUUUCUUUAAUGCAGCUUUUCAGUUAACAAGUCAACAUCAAUUUCUUUUGCUGUAAAAAAGCUUGAGGAAGGUGGCUUGAGAUUCGUCUUAAGUGUUUAUAGCCUCUUGCCUAUGCAGUCGGAGAGAUUGAGGUCUGCAGCGUAGAUCCUUCGGGGCUAAAUGCAUUUGUGCUAAGUUAUAGCAUUUUAUAGACAACUUGUUGACUAUGAUUUGUCUAUGUAGCUUACUCGCUUAUGUUAUUUUACCUACGCUUAGGAUGUUGAGCGCAUGUCUCUCUCU
rnacentral:rRNA from 1 species